CGAACGAAGCACUUUCGAUCGGAGAUUCGUCAAAGAUUGGAUUUGACUUAGUGGCGGACGGGUGAGUAACGCGUGAGCAACCUGCCUUUCAGAGGGGGACAACAGUUGGAAACGACUGCUAAUACCGCAUAAUGUAUUUAGGAGGCAUCUCUUGAAUACCAAAGGAGUGAUCCGCUGAAAGAUGGGCUCACGUCUGAUUAGCUAGUUGGUGAGGUAACGGCUCACCAAGGCUGCGAUCAGUAGCCGGACUGAGAGGUUGAACGGCCACAUUGGGACUGAGAUACGGCCCAGACUCCUACGGGAGGCAGCAGUGGGGAAUAUUGGGCAAUGGGCGAAAGCCUGACCCAGCAACGCCGCGUGAAGGAAGAAGGUCUUCGGAUUGUAAACUUCUUUUAUGAGGGACGAAGGACGUGACGGUACCUCAUGAAUAAGCCACGGCUAACUACGUGCCAGCAGCCGCGGUAAUACGUAGGUGGCAAGCGUUAUCCGGAUUUACUGGGUGUAAAGGGCGCGUAGGCGGGGAUGCAAGUCAGAUGUGAAAUCUAUGGGCUUAACUCAUAAACUGCAUUUGAAACUGUAUCUCUUGAGUGCUGGAGAGGUAGAUGGAAUUCCUUGUGUAGCGGUGAAAUGCGUAGAUAUAAGGAAGAACACCAGUGGCGAAGGCGAUCUACUGGACAGUAACUGACGCUGAGGCGCGAAAGCGUGGGGAGCAAACAGGAUUAGGUACCCUGGUAGUCCACGCCAUAAACGAUGAAUACUAGGUGUGGGGGGACUGACCCCCUCCGUGCCGCAGUUAACACAAUAAGUAUUCCACCUGGGGAGUACGGCCGCAA
rnacentral:rRNA from 1 species